GCCCGUCCUUUCUCUUUCUUAUUUUUUGGAAAACUUAAGAAAAAAAAUAUGCUAAUCCCUCUGAUUAACAAAACGAUGCAAGGCCCAAUUUUCGAUUCCUAUCUCUAGAAAACCGAAAUUAAGUUUGGUGUAAUUGGUGCAACUUAUUUUGAUUUUUUUUUUCUUCACAUAUGUAUUAGAAUUGACCAUAUAAAUUUAUAAUUUAUAAUUAUCUCUUUCUUUUAAAAGUGCAUUGUGCAUGCCA
rnacentral:lncRNA from 1 species